rnacentral:rRNA from 1 species
CCUACGGGUGGCAGCAGUGGGGAAUAUUGCACAAUGGGGGAAACCCUGAUGCAGCGACGCCGCGUGAGUGAAGAAGUAUUUCGGUAUGUAAAGCUCUAUCAGCAGGGAAGAAAUAGCGACCUUUGGUUCGCCAGACGGUACCUGAUUAAGAAGCCCCUGCUAACUACGUGCCAGCAGCCGCGGUAAUACGUAGGGGGCAAGCGUUAUCCGGAUUUACUGGGUGUAAAGGGAGCGUAGACGGCAGCGCAAGUCUGAAGUGAAAUGCCGGGGCUUAACCCCGGAACUGCUUUGGAAACUGGGCAGCUAGAGUGGAGGAGAGGUAAGUGGAAUUCCUGGUGUAGCGGUGAAAUGCGUAGAUAUGAGGAGGAACACCAGUGGCGAAGGCGGCUUACUGGACUGUAACUGACGUUGAGGCUCGAAAGCGUGGGGAGCAAACAGGAUUAGAUACCCCGGUAGUC